UCCAAGUAUCAGGAGCAGCGUACUCUCAAA
rnacentral:piRNA from 1 species